UUUUGUUGCUGUUGUGAUUUAUUUAUUUGUCUCCCAAUCAGUUGAAGCUCAUCAACUCUGAAUUAUCGCCCAAAUGCGCUUAUCUGUUUCUUCUUAUUUCCAAUGUAAGAUACCAGGUUUUAAACUAAAGGAGCCCUUAAGUACAUUGAAAGACAUAUAAAGAGCAACCACCAUGUGAAGCAGCCCAGCUAUAUUGCUGCUGAGACAAGAGUGGAAAGAAGGAUGCUUGAAGAAUGAGCGACUAAGAAGGAAGAGAAAGAAGUUCAGCCAACCUCUAGCCAUGAUAGUCAUCUUACCUGAGAUAUCACAUAUAUAAAUAAAUCUUCAUGCAGCCCUAGUUGAGUUUCCUCAACCAAACCACAUAAAGCACAGGCCCAGACAAGUGCUGCCAAGUUGCAAAAUUGUAAGCAAAUAAAUAAUGUUUGGGUUUUUUUAAGCACUAAAUUUUGGGAGGUUUGUAAGGCAGCAAGAGAUAACUGAAGCACCAAUAUAAAUUACAACCUUUCUGAUACAAAACUCUUUUAUUUCGUUUAUUAUUUAAUUUUAAAAAUAUUUAAUGUGUAUUUAAUUUAAAUAAAUUAUUUGAUAUUAUUAAUAGUAUUUCCGAGACUUCAAGAAAAAGGCCAUCAAAAAGUGAAAAAGAAACUGAAUGAAGAGUAAAAUACUUUGUUUCCACUAUAUUUUUCUCCUUGUAAAACUCCCCUCAUUAACAUUCUGUUUAAAUACUCUGAGACCCCAUAGAAAAGUUUCGAAACAAAGCCAUUUUAAGUAAUAUAAUUGUUAGAAGCAGCUACUUAUACAUGAGUUCAUGUCUUUAAUAAAAUUAUUCCCACUUAUUGAAACCUACAAUAAUGUGACCUGUUAAUGUAUUUGGGGUUGCAUAUACUUCAGUCAAGUUCUUAAUGAAAAUAUUAAGGGUGCUUAAAAUAUAUCUAAAGUCUGAGAUGAAUUUCAUCUAGUUUUUAAAUAUAUGAAAUAUUUAGUAGUACAUAUACCACUGAUAAAAUAUACAUUUGUUAUUUAAGAAAUUGUAUUUCCACCAAUCUCUGUAAUCAAUUUUACAUUUAAAAUUCUUUCCAUAACAAAUCAAUAUGCAUAAUUUGAGUAUAUUUUAUAUAUCACAGGUGUUUAUGAAUUAUUUCCAUAUUUAAAAUACCAAAUAUUUCAGAAUGGACAAUAAAUAAGUGUUAGUUCCCUUUCUUUUGCUGACAUUACUUAAAAGCAAGUAUAAAAAAUCUGAAGCACAGUUCGUGAAUGCUGGGAUUGCUAGAUGAUGAUACACUGUAAGAUGAAAGACUUUCAAAGCCUUUAAAGCAUUACCCAAGAUAACUGCUCAGUGAAAAAAAAGUGUGUUGUAAAACAAUAUGUAAUACAAUCUUAUGUUGUUAAAAUAUUAUUAAUUGCAAAUAUAAAUAUAUAAUGCUACAUUUAAUACAUUUAUAAUAAUUGAAAAAUAUAUAAUACAUGUGUGUUACCUCAUAAACAUGAAGAAAACCUUGUAAAUGUAUUUGGUGGAAAAGGAAGAAAGAACAUAAACACUGGAGUCAGAAAGACCUACCUACAAAUCCUGAGUUUGCCACUUAAUAAUUCUAUGGGAUUUCAGUCAAUAACCUAAUUUAUCAGAACCUGUUUCCACGUAUUCAAAGUGGGCAGAAAUGUAUCCACUUUCAGAAAUAUAAUAAUAGAAGUCAGAGACAAGCUAAUGAUGCUUAGUAAAUGACAAUUGUUCUAAUUCUUAUUAGUCCCGAACAGUCAUCCUCAUCAAACACAAUUUGCUACUCCAUCAGGGGAAUGUUUUUCACGUGGUUUUCUAGUGGGUCUAUGUCUCCACAAGGGUAUUUUUGGCAUUCUGCAGAAGUCCCAAUCAAAUUUCGUAAAAGUGUAAUUUAAUUUUUAAAAAUCUGUAUUUCAUAUGUUUUUGGCUCAAUAAAAUGAGAGCAAAGCUUAAGGGUACCUGCUUAAUGGAUAUUUUCCUGAGCAUUGUUCAGUAACAAAUAAAGCUGGAGAGGGGAUAAAUUGCUUCAUGAUUACCUUUAGCAUUUAUUUCAACAUGGAUAGUUUGAGUUAUAUACUUAGUAAAUUUUACUUUAUUUUAUUGAGGUGAAAUGCCUUUAAAGUUAAAAAAGUUACUGAUUACUAAGAAAAUUGUAGAAUACUAUUUGAUAUGAGUGUAACAAGAGUUAUCAGGUUUGAGAAAAAAAACACAAAAAAUUACUGUGACCAAAGCUAAAUAGCUCACAUUAACUGGUAAAAAGAUAUGAAAGUAAAGCAACAUGCUCACAACAUUUAAUGUAAGGUAAUUCGAACAACAAAAUCAAAACAAAACAACACAGAAGGGUGAUUCUUUCUUAAAAUAUUUUAGUUGACAAAUAAUAAUUGUAUAUGCUUAUUUUUUAUUUUUCCAGGUACAAAGUAGGUGUAUAUAAUUAUAAGGUACAUGAGAUAUUUUGAUAAGAGGCAAACAAAGCAUAAUAAUCACAUUAGAGUAAAUGGGGUAUCCAUCCCCUCAAGCAUAUAUACUUCUUUUUAUUACAAACAAUUCAUUUAUCCUCUUUUAGUAAUUUAACAAUAUACAGUAAAUUAUUGUUGACUGUAGUCACCCUGCUGUGCUGUCAAAUACUAGGUCUUAUUCAUUCCUUCUAACUACUUUUUUUUUUUUUUUAAUCCAUUAACCAUUCCCACUUCUCCUCCUCCACUAUCCUUACUGGUCUCUGGUAACCAUCCUUCUACUUUCUAUCUCCAUGAGUUCAGAUGUUUUGAUUUUUAGUUCCCAAAAAUAAAUGAGAACAUGCAAAGUUUGUCUUUCUGUGCUGGCAUUUUUCACUUAACAUAAUGGCCUCCAGUUCCAUGCAUGUUGUAGCAAAUGACAGGAUUUCAUACAUUUUAUGGCUGAAUAGUACACCAUUGUGUAUAUGUACCACAUUUAUUCAUUCAUCUGUUGAUGGAAACUUAAGUUGCUUCCAAAUUUUGGCUAUUGGGAAUAGUGUUGCAAAACACACAGGAAUGCAGAUAUCUGUAUAAUAUAUCGAUUUCCUUUCUUUUAGACACAUACCUACGAGUGGCAUUGCUGGCUAUGGAAGUUUCACUUUUAGUUUUUUGAGGCAGUUUCUGGUGAGAAAUGGAAUGUUCUCCAUAGUAAUUUUACUAACUUACAUUAUCACCACCAAUAUACUAGUGUUCCCUUUUUGCCGUAUCUAUGCUAACAUUUAUUAUUGCCUAUGUUUUGGAUAAAAGCAAUUUUAACUGGGGUAAGAUGAUAUCUCAUUGUACUUUUGAUUCACAUUUUUCUGAUGAUCAAUGAUGUUAAGUAUGUUUUUAUAUACCUGUUUGCCAUCCAUCUGUUUUCUUUGGAGAAAUGUCUAUUCAGAGAUUUUGCUCAUUUUUAAUCAGAUCAUUAGGUUUUUUUCCUGUAGUCUUAUUUGAGAUCCUUAUAUAUUCUGGUUAUUAACCCAACAUGAUAUGAUCCCAUUUGUCCAUUUUUGUUUUGGUUGCCUGUGCUUACGGGGUGUUAUUCAAGAAAUAUUUGCCCAGCCCAGUGUCCUAGAGAAUUCACCCAAUGUUUUAUUUAGUAGUUUCAUAGUUUCAGGUCUUUGACUUAAGUUUUCAGUCCAUUUUGAUUUGGUUUUAUGUAUGACAGGAGAUAGGGAUCUAGUAUAAUUUUUCUGCAUAUGGCUGUCCAGUUUUCCCAUCAUCUAUUUUUGAAGAGACUGUCCUUUCCCCCAGUGUAUGUUUUUGGCAACUUUGUUGAAAGUGAGUUCAAUAUAGACGUGUAGAUUUGUUUCUGGGUACUCUAUUCAGUUCUAUUUGUUUAUAUGUCUGUUUUUAUGCCAGUAUUAUGCUGUUUGGGUUACUAUAGCUCUGUAGUAUAAUUUAAAAUCAGGUAAUCUGAUUUCUCCAGUUUUGUUCUCUAUGCUCAUGAUAACUUUGACUAUUCUGGGUCUUUUUGGGUUUCACAUAAAUUUUAGGAUUUUUUUUUUCAUUUCUGUAAAAAAUUUAAUUGGUAUGUUGAUAGGGAUUGCAUUGAUCUGUAGAUUGCUUUGGGCAGUAUAAACAUCUUAACAACACUGAUUCUUCCAAUCCAUGAACAUGAAAUAUCUUUCCAUUUUUUGUGUGUUCUCUUCAGUUUCUUUCAUCAAUGUUUUACCAUUCUCAUUGUAGAACUCUUUCACUUUUUUUGCUUAAUUUCUAAGUAUUUAAUUUUAUUUGUUGCUAUUAUAAAUGGGAU
rnacentral:lncRNA from 1 species